GACGAACGCUGGCGGCGUGCUUAACACAUGCGAGUCGAACGGAAAGGCCCUGCUUUUGUGGGGUGCUCGAGUGGCGAACGGGUGAGUAACACGUGAGUAACCUGCCCUUGACUUUGGGAUAACUUCAGGAAACUGGGGCUAAUACCGGAUAGGAGCUCCUGCUGCAUGGUGGGGGUUGGAAAGUUUCGGCGGUUGGGGAUGGACUCGCGGCUUAUCAGCUUGUUGGUGGGGUAGUGGCUUACCAAGGCUUUGACGGGUAGCCGGCCUGAGAGGGUGACCGGCCACAUUGGGACUGAGAUACGGCCCAGACUCCUACGGGAGGCAGCAGUGGGGAAUAUUGCACAAUGGGCGGAAGCCUGAUGCAGCAACGCCGCGUGCGGGAUGACGGCCUUCGGGUUGUAAACCGCUUUCGCCUGUGACGAAGCGUGAGUGACGGUAAUGGGUAAAGAAGCACCGGCUAACUACGUG
rnacentral:rRNA from 1 species